CCUACGGGAGUCAGCAGUAGGGAAUAUUGCUCAAUGGGGGAAACCCUGAAGCAGCAACGCCGCGUGGAGGAUGAAUGUUUUCGGGUUGUAAACUCCUUUUUUUAGAGAAGAUAAUUGCGGUAUCUAACGCAUAAGCACCGGCUAACUACGGGCCAGCAGCCGCGGUAAUACGGAGGGUGCAAGCGUUACUCGGAAUCACUGGGCGUAAAGAGCGCGUAGGCGGGAUAGCAAGUCAGAUGUGAAAUCCUAUGGCUUAACCAUAGAACUGCAUUUGAAACUGUUAUUCUAGAGUAUGGGAGAGGUAGGUGGAAUUCGUGGUGUAGGGGUAAAAUCCGUAGAGAUCAAGAGGAAUACUCAUUGCGAAGGCGACCUGCUAGAACAUAACUGACGCUGAUGCGCGAAAGCGUGAGGAGCAAACAGGAUUAGAUACCCGAGUAGUC
rnacentral:rRNA from 1 species